ACCCGCUGAACUUAAGCAUAUCAAUAAGCGGAGGAAAAGAAACUAACAAGGAUUCCCCUAGUAACGGCGAGUGAAGCGGGAUGAGCUCAAAUUUAAAAUCUGGCUGGUUUACUAGUCCGAAUUGUAGUUUAAAGAAGCGUUUUCGGUGGCAGCCUGGGUAUAAAUCCUUUGGAAUAGGGUAUCAUAGAGGGUGAGAAUCCCGUCUUUGACUCAGUGAAUGCUACUAUGUGAUACGUUUUCAAAGAGUCGAGUUGUUUGGGAAUGCAGCUCAAAAUGGGUGGUAAAUUUCAUCUAAAGCUAAAUAUUGGCGAGAGACCGAUAGCGAACAAGUACCGUGAGGGAAAGAUGAAAAGAACUUUGAAAAGAGAGUUAAACAGUGCGUGAAAUUGUUGAAAGGGAAACGUUUGACACCAGUCAUGCGGGUGGAAAAUCAGUCUUUUGGAGUGAGGAGUGGUGGGGGUUCAGACCGCAAGGCUGGCCUUUAUUUCAUCUUUGCUCUAAGUGAUGCACUUUUUCAUUUGCAGGUCAACAUCAGUUUCCUCUGCUGGACAAAACUCCGAGAGAAGGUAGCAGCUUAGGCUGUGUUAUAGCUCUGGAGCGAUACAGUGGAGGGGACUGAGGUUUUCGCAGUGUGUGCUCUCGGGCAAGGUCGACUGGGUGCUAUGUGAUCGUUCGGUGUACAAUGCAUGCAUUUUGCGCUGUGUCUUUUGCAUACUCGCCUGACUCGACUCUUCCACGCUUAGGAUGUUGACUUAAUGGUUUUAAAUGACCCGUCUUGAAACACGG
rnacentral:rRNA from 1 species